GUUUUGCCCAAGCUAGUGUCACCAGACUUCAAGAAGAUUUGUUCUUCUCUGACUUCCCUCCUAAGGGCAAUUCUGCCAGUGAAGUUAUUGAAAUUCUAGAUGGUAUUUCAGAAUAUGAAGCUAACAUUCACAUCAUGGUUAAAAAAAAUUCCUUCCAAAAGAAUCCACAAAUCUCCAUUAUAUUUCUUCAUCAUGCAGUCAGAGAAAAUCAAAGUAGAGAGACUACCCAGGACCAGGUACUCCUAGUUUCCCUGAUCCACAUGAAACAGUAAUUACUGGUUUGUGGUCUUGGGAAACCCAGAGACUCAUGAGCAUGUGGAAAGCAUUUGAGACUCAGUGCCUUAAGCAUCCACAACUGAAAUGAAGCUCUUCAUUCUUGAAGCAUCUUCUGUGCUGCUGGGGAAUUGGGAUGUUGGGACAAACUGGACAGCAUCACUGCCCCUUCCAAUAGCUAAUACUUAGAACACAAAAUUCAGCAAGCACAAAAGAAAGUGUCAGGAAUAGUGUGCUGGAACCUCAUUCUGUUGUCUCUUUCACAAGCAACAGCACAGUUUGUGUCAG
rnacentral:lncRNA from 1 species